UACAGAGGUCCCAAGCGUUGUUCGGAUUCACUGGGCGUAAAGGGUGCGUAGGUGGUGAGGUAAGUCGGAUGUGAAAUCUCGGAGCUCAACUCCGAAACUGCAUUGGAAACUACCUCGCUCGAGGGUUGGAGGGGGGACUGGAAUACUUGGUGUAGCAGUGAAAUGCGUAGAUAUCAAGUGGAACACCAGUGGCGAAGGCGAGUCCCUGGACAACUCCUGACACUGAGGCACGAAAGCUAGGGGAGCAAACAGG
rnacentral:rRNA from 1 species